rnacentral:rRNA from 1 species
ACGCACGCUGGCGGCGUGCUUCACACAUGCAAGUCGCACGGAAAGGCCCUGCUUUUGUGGGGUGCUCGAGUGGCGAACGGGUGAGUAACACGUGAGUAACCUGCCCUUGACUUUGGGAUAACUUCAGGAAACUGGGGCUAAUACCGGAUAGGAGCUCCUGCUGCAUGGUGGGGGUUGGAAAGUUUCGGCGGUUGGGGAUGGACUCGCGGCUUAUCAGCUUGUUGGUGGGGUAGUGGCUUACCAAGGCUUUGACGGGUAGCCGGCCUGAGAGGGUGACCGGCCACAUUGGGACUGAGAUACGGCCCAGACUCCUACGGGAGGCAGCAGUGGGGAAUAUUGCACAAUGGGCGGAAGCCUGAUGCAGCAACGCCGCGUGCGGGAUGACGGCCUUCGGGUUGUAAACCGCUUUCGCCUGUGACGAAGCGUGAGUGACAGUAAUGGGUAAAGAAGCACCGGCUAACUACGUG